ACGGCUGAACCAGCAAUUUGGGGGAACGAAUAGCUUCGGCUAAUUAUACUUGGCUGUUUAACUUAUUAUAAGUAAUUUUUAUUUAAUAUAAUGGUUAUUCAUUUUAACCUUAACUAUAGGGAAGACCAAUAGUUAGUGGUUAAUUAAUUCGCCGCUUCUAUAUGAUUAAGAGAAUAUUUUAUUUUCAGGGACAAGUGUAAGAUCGAUUUUGUCGAAUAAAGUUCUAGAUAAAAUACUGAUUAUGACAAUUUUUUAUCUAUAUGUCUUGACCAAACUACGUGCCAGCAGUCGCGGCAAUACGGAGAAGACUAGUGUUAUUCAUCUUUAAUAGGUUUAAAGGGUACCUAGACGGUAGAAUUAGUCUGAAAUAAGAUACGAUUUUGCUAGAGUUAUAUAUGAGAAGGCGAGUAUUUAUGGAGAAGAGUUGAAAUUCUGUCAUCCCAUAACGACUGGUAACGGCGAAAGCAACCUUUUAUCUAAUAACUGACGUUGAGGGACGAAGGCUCGGGUAACGAACAGGAUUAGAUACCCUAGUAGUCCAAGCAGAGAAUUAUGAAUGCCAUAGAUUAGAUAUUUUUGGUCUAUAAAUGAAAGUGUAAGCAUUUCACCUCAAGAGUAAUGUGGCAACGCAGGAACUGAAAUCAUUAGACCGUUUCUGAAACCAGUAGUGAAGUAUGUUAUUUAAUUCGUCGGUACGCGAAAAACCUUACCACAAUUUGAAUAUUAUUUUAGUAAAACACGUAUUACUUAUAUUAUCUUUAAGAUAAGACAUAUAAUACAUAUAAAAUAUUACAAGCGUUGCACGGCUGUCUUAAGUUAAUGUCGUGAGAUAUUGGUUAAUUCCAUUAAAUUAACGGAAACCCUUGCUUUAUUUGUAAUUUACAUAAAUAAGGCUGCACACCAUUAUAUCGGAUAUGUUAAUAGGGACCAAGACAA
rnacentral:rRNA from 1 species